rnacentral:rRNA from 1 species
AGAGUUGAUCCUGGACUCACCGUGAACGCUUAAGGCGUGCCUAACACAUGCAAGUCGAGCGAAGUGGCAGCUGUAGCAAUACAGUAUGUGCUUAGCGGCAGGCGGGUGAGUAACACGUAGAUAACUUACCUCUUAGAGGGGGAUAGCCCGCCGAAAGGCGGGGUAAUACCGCGUAAGAUACUUUUGCGGCAUCGCGAAGGUAUGAAACAUCCGCAAGGAUGGCAGAGAGACGGGUCUACGGCCUAUCAGCUAGUUGGUGAGGUAAUGGCUCACCAAGGCGACGACGGGUAGCCGACCUGAAAGGGUGAUCGGCCACACUGACACUUAGACACGGGUCAGACUCCUACGGGAGGCAGCAGUGAGGAAUUUUGGACAAUGGGGGAAACCCUGAUCCAGCGACGCCGCGUGGAGGACGAAGGUUUUCGGAUUGUAAACUCCUUUUGUCUGGGACUAAGAAACUCGGGAAAACUCGAGGAGUGAAUGUACCAAGUGAAUAAGCCACGGCUAACUUCGUGCCAGCAGCCGCGGUAAUACGAAGGUGGCAAGCGUUACUCGGAAUAACUAGGCGUAAAGGGCAGGUAGGCGGUCUUGUAAGUCUGUUGUGAAAGCUCCCGGCUCAACUGGGAGAGGUCAACAGAUACUGCAGAGCUUGAGUAUAGGAGAGGUUACUGGAAUUCCUGGUGUAGCGGUGAAAUGCGCAGAGAUCAGGAGGAACCCCAAUGGCGAAAGCAAGUAACUGGACUAUUACUGACACUCAGCUGCGAAAGCUAGGGGAGCAAACAGGAUUAGAUACCCUGGUAGUCCUAGCUGUAAACGAUGUACAUUAGGCGUGGGAGGUAUCGACCCCUUCCUUGCCGACGCUAACGCAUUAAAUGUGCCGCCUGGGGAGUACGGCCGCAAGGUUAAAACUCAAAGGAAUUGACGGGGGCCCGCACAAGCGGUGGAGCAUGUGGUUUAAUUCGACGCAACGCGAAGAACCUUACCUGGGCUUGAACAGUAGGAAGUAGAAUUGAUGAAAGUUGAGACGACCUGUCAAAUCAGGAGCCUAUAGAGGUGCUGCAUGGCUGUCGUCAGCUCGUGUCGUGAGAUGUUGGGUUAAGUCCCGCAACGAGCGCAACCCUUAUCCUAUGUUGCCAAGUCUGUAAUGGACUGCACUCUUAGGAAACUGCCUCGGAUAACGGGGAGGAAGGUGGGGAUGACGUCAAGUCACCAUGGCCUUUAUGUCCAGGGCUACACACGUGCUACAAUGGCCGGUACAGCGAGCAGCAACUCCGCAAGGAUGAGCAAAUCUCUAAAA